rnacentral:rRNA from 1 species
GGGCCCGCGGCGCAUUAGCUAGUUGGUGAGGUAAUGGCUCACCAAGGCGACGAUGCGUAGCCGACCUGAGAGGGUGAUCGGCCACACUGGGACUGAGACACGGCCCAGACUCCUACGGGAGGCAGCAGUAGGGAAUCUUCCGCAAUGGACGAAAGUCUGACGGAGCAACGCCGCGUGAACGAAGAAGGCCUUCGGGUCGUAAAGUUCUGUUGUUAGGGAAGAACAAGUACCAGAGUAACUGCUGGUACCUUGACGGUACCUAACCAGAAAGCCACGGCUAACUACGUGCCAGCAGCCGCGGUAAUACGUAGGUGGCAAGCGUUGUCCGGAAUUAUUGGGCGUAAAGCGCGCGCAGGUGGUUCCUUAAGUCUGAUGUGAAAGCCCACGGCUCAACCGUGGAGGGUCAUUGGAAACUGGGGAACUUGAGUGCAGAAGAGGAAAGUGGAAUUCCAAGUGUAGCGGUGAAAUGCGUA